AGAUCGGCUUGCAACUGGGAUAUCCUCAGGUCCUUCUGCCGAAGCUGCUCAGCUGCAGCUCGAAGUGGAGGGAGGCAGUCGCAAGGCUGGCCUGGUACCAGGAAGCACCAACAGGAAGAGCAAGUUGUGACAGAGAACCACAGGAUAAAUGGUGUCAGAGAGUUCAAUCAACAGGCACUCUUCAUCUUUCACUCUUACUGUGUUACUGUUUUAAGACAUAAGGAAUAGAACAGUCUGAACUCCUAGAGGCUCUCCUGUAAUGGCACUACCUGAAAAGCAUUUACCAAGCUCCCGCAUAAAAGGCUGAAUUCAAGCCGC